rnacentral:lncRNA from 1 species
GUGAAUUUUAAAAGUCUCCAUUUGGGUAUAGCACCCAAAAAUUGUGGCAUGUGCUAGUCAAUGACAAAUCAGAAAUAACUAACUGCCCACCUGGGCUGUCCUAAGCCAAGCUAGAGCCAACCAUUGGCACUUGUGAGACACAGGAAGUGAGGUAGGGAACAGCCUCUGGAAUUCGCUCACUUCCUGUGGAGAGAGCUAGAUGCCAGUUGGUGUGAGGAGCUUGGACAGAGAGGACGCCCACAGACAGCUUUCCUUCAGAUCGGUCACAUGGAAUAAACUAUCAAAAGAAAGAAUAUUCACCACCAUAGAAGGAAUAAAUGGAAUUCACAUAUUGAAGUUUACCGUUCUUCAGCUGAUUUUUUUCUAAUUGUGUCAUCCUUGAAUUCAAAAUAACAAAGUACAAAUGACUAAUAGGGUGUUCAUGUCCAAGAGAGGUAAGGAAUCUAGUUGAUGAAUUCAAGAUACCUGGCCUAGAUAAACUACAUCUUUGAAUUCUGAAACAACAACAACAACAACAACAACAACAAGGAAAUGUGAUUGUUGAACCUUUCA